GGUCUGUAAUUUUAGUGGACAAUACAGAGUUAUGUAUGUUCACUGUAAGGGCAGACCAACAAGAACUUUUUCCUACUUUUGAGCUACCUCUUUUUUUUUUUUUUUUUCCAAGACAGAGUUUCAUUAUGUUGCCCUUGGUAGAGUGCCGUGGUGUCCCAGCUCACAGCAA